rnacentral:rRNA from 1 species
GGGAGCAAACAGGACAGAUACCCUGGUAGUCCACGUUUUACCCCUUGCACACUAGUUGUUGCUAUGCUAGACAUAGCAGUAAUGCAGUUAACACAGUAAGUGUGCCGCCUGGGGAGUACGGUCGCAAGAUUAAAACUCAAAGGAAUAGACGGGGACCCGCACAAGCGGUGGAGCAUGUGGUUUAAUUCGACGAUACGCGAAGAACCUUACCUGGCCUUGACAUAGAAAGAACUUUCCAGAGACGGAUUGGUGCUAGUUUACUAGAGCUUUCAUACAGGUGCUGCACGGCUGUCGUCAGCUCGUGUCGUGAGAUGUUGGGUUAAGUCCCGCAACGAGCGCAACCCUCGUGUUUAGUUACUAACAGUUCGGCUGAGGACUCUAGACAGACUGCCUGGGCAACCAGGAGGAAGGUGAGGACGACGUCAAGUCAUCAUGGCCCUUACGGCCAGGGCUACACACGUGCUACAAUGGGGUAUACAAAGAGCCGCGAUACCGUGAGGUGGAGCAAAUCUCAUAAAAUAUCUCCCAGUUCGGAUAGCAGUCUGCAACUCGACUGCUUGAAGUUGGAAUCGCUAGUAAUCGUAGAUCAGCAAUGCUACGGUGAAUACGUUCCCGGGUCUUGUACUCACCGCCCGUCACACCAUGGGAAUUGAAUUCAUUCGAAGCGGGGAUGCUAAAAUAGCUACCUUCCACAGUGGAUUUAGUAACUAGGGUGAAGUCGUAACAAGGUA